GGUCCAAACUCCUACGGGAGGCAGCUGUGAGGAAUAUUGGUCAAUGGACGAGAGUCUGAACCAGCCAAGUAGCGUGAAGGAUGACUGCCCUAUGGGUUGUAAACUUCUUUUAUACGGGAAUAAAGUGAGCCACGUGUGGCUUUUUGUAUGUACCGUAUGAAUAAGGAUCGGCUAACUCCGUGCCAGCAGCCGCGGUAAUACGGAGGAUCCGAGCGUUAUCCGGAUUUAUUGGGUUUAAAGGGAGCGUAGGCGGGUUGUUAAGUCAGUUGUGAAAGUUUGCGGCUCAACCGUAAAAUUGCAGUUGAUACUGGCGACCUUGAGUGCAACAGAGGUAGGCGGAAUUCGUGGUGUAGCGGUGAAAUGCUUAGAUAUCACGAAGAACUCCGAUUGCGAAGGCAGCUUACUGGAUUGUAACUGACGCUGAUGCUCGAAAGUGUGGGUAUCAAACAGGAUUAGAUACCCUGGUAGUCCACACAGUAAACGAUGAAUACUCGCUGUUGGCGAUAUACUGUCAGCGGCCAAGCGAAAGCAUUAAGUAUUCCACCUGGGGAGU
rnacentral:rRNA from 1 species